rnacentral:lncRNA from 13 species
AUGAUCUGCUGUAGUUUUCCUGAGCUUGUUAAAAAUAGCCCUGGGCCAGAUACAUGCCAUUGUUCAAAAUUAAGUAGAUCACUCAGCACCUGCUUUUUCUGCACCCUGUCUUCUGUUACCCCAGGUGCUGUCUCAGACACUGAUGGGUUCUUGGCUUUCACUUCUAGGUAUAAUCAUGAUAUCUGCCUACGGAGAAGGAUAAGACUUGGCUGUUCUAGAAAACUACAGCCUGUGCUGUGGAGAAUGGGGUACAUGAAGUAUGGAAGAAUGAAUACCUUCCUCCUCUUAAGAAAACUUCAGAGACUGAAAGGGACAAGUGCUAGCCUCAGACAAGGACAAAGAGGAAGAAUUCUGUGA